UUAACUUAUGUUCUAAUGUUCUGUUGUAAACUUUAUGCUCUCUCUCCCUUUCAGCUGAGCAUGGAUUAUGUAGAGCCCAUUCUGUCUAUUGCUUCACAGAUCUACACUCUGGUUGAGAAUGUUAAGGCCAAUAAAAAGCGCUGCUGUCGUGUUGUGGAGCGAGUAAAAGCCUUGGAGGACUUGGUGAAGUCAAUCAAACGGAGGGAUGCAGUCGAGCUCUCUGCUGAGGUGGAGAAUUCCCUGAAGGGACUCUCAAUCACUCUCAGAUCAGCUAAGGAGCUCAUUGAGAAAUACACUUUGUCAAACUUGGUGAAGCGCAUCCUGAAGUCCAGCAGUCAUGGAGAUGAAUUCAACAGUGUGAAUGAACGGCUCAAUGAUGCCUUCCAAUGCCUAGCUUUAGCUCUGCAGCUAGAGCAUGGAAAUCAGGUGUUCAGGGUUUUUGAGCAGAUCUCCAGGCAGAAGGAAGAUGAAGCUGACAGCAGGGAAGAUGAUGCAGAAUUGAAAAGAAUGCUCAUGGAAUACGGGGAAUAUGUGGAAACCAUGCAAAGGGAUCUUGAAGACAUUAAAUCCAAUGUAGUAAAAAUUGUGGAGAUGUUGAAUAAACCCAGAAUCAUAAAUAUGGACAUCCGAAUGAUUAAACCAGAUGAACUGAAGAAUGUUGAAGAAAAGCCCUUUAUGACCACACCAACCUCUGAGGUCUACAAAGGAGAAUUUGGUGGCUUCACAGUGGCCAUCAAGAAAUACACAGGAGCUUUAAAUGCCAAACCAGGGAUGGUAAAGUCUGUCUUCAAUAAGGAAGUAGACACCAUGAAACGCUUUGAGUCUCCCAACAUCCUGCGAAUGUUUGGCAUCUGCAUCCGAGAAGAGAACACUCCAAAUCCUGAGUUCCUCGUCAUCAUGGAGUAUUGUGAAAAAGGAAGCCUACGAGAUGUUCUGAACUCCAAACAUGAACUGUUAUGGACCAGGAAAGCAUCCAUGUGUUUGGAUGCAGCACAGGGACUUUAUCGACUCCAUCUAACUGAGGAAAUAAGUAAGCUUCACAUGAGCAUCACAAGCACUAAGUUCCUCGUGGAUGAGAACUACAGAGUGAAGCUGGGAGGGUUAGAACUAGCAAAAACAGAGACAUCACUGAAAAGAACAACUAAGGGUAAAGAGCAUUACAAAACCAUCAGCUCGCUGUGCUACUCCUCUCCCCAGCAGCUCAGCAACAUCAACCACGCAUACACCAAAGAGUGUGAAAUCUACAGCUUGGGAAUCGUUCUGUGGGAAAUUGCCACUCGUAAGAAGCCUUUUGAAGACUGCGGUGGCGAUGACAAAAUUAUUUCUAAAAAAGUGUGUGAGGAGAAAUAUCAAGAGCCGCUCCCUGCUGAUUGUCCUGAAUCCCUGGGGGAGAUGAUCAAUGCCUGCAGGGCUUAUGAAAGCUAUCACAGGCCAUCUGCUGGCGUGUUGGUGGAUAAACUGCGAAGUGUGCUGGUACAGUUCGAGAAACAGUGAAAGCCUUCAACACUGAUCACAAUAUCUUCUACAAUUUUGUUCAUGAGUUGUCUCAUAAUGAUAUUCUUCUAUUUCUAUUUUGACUGUAAUUUUGUUCUUUUUCCCCCCCUGCUUUCCCUGUAGUUUUUAGUAAUUUUGUUUAUUUUGUCUUGUAAUUCUCAGUCAAAUGUUUUUCUUUCUUCCACAGCCCCAACAUGAGCAUGUCAUUGUAACUAAGUAACUGGUCACUUUAAAUAGUCUUUGGUUCUGAGGUUGACAAUACAAUACAAUACUAAAGCUAACUCGAUACUCAUGCAAAGAAAAACACUAUGAUACUACAGUAACCUUUCUUUAAGGUAAAGAGUUACAUUAUGAUAUUUCUGUAUUUGCAGAUCAAGACUGAAAUUUGUUGCUCUUUACAGACAUUUCAAACAUUAUUAAAAUAUAACUAUUUCCACUGUGCUAUUUAGGCCACAACUGAGAAGCAGAAGUGCAGCACUCAUUAGAAAAAAGCUGACCAUGCUAUGUGACAAUAAUUUGAAGACUGGAUUUGUGUUCCAAUCUUCACCCCUGGUCUUCUUUGGAGUUUUAUUGGAAAAAUAGCAUGAUGAUUUCAAAGACAAACAGAGGUGGAACUGAAAAGCAUGCGGAAGGAGCAAAACUCUUUCUGCUUCAGGUAUCUUCCCUCUGGAUGCAUCUUACUGUAUAUGUGGUUACUGAAGAGAAAACUGACUUUUUUUGUCCUGUUUGUCUUUUGUUACUUCGGCAUUAGAUUUGUUCUAAUUAUAAGCAGCUUGAAUGUUUUCACCUGGUUUAGAGCCACUGGUGGACUGAACAAAUUCUCUGGACAGGAAGACCUAAUUUCCUCCACAGACUUAAAUGAAUUAUAUGGCUGCAGGUUUCAACGCAUCUGCAUCAUUUAUUUUAGCAAUUACAUUUUCUCUAGAGAUGACAAUAUUCUUAUCCCUCAAGAAGUAGAGUCAAGGCAGCUGGGUAGACAUUGAAUUAUGAAUGACUAAUUAUUAUGCAGCUGUUUAGUCUCUGGUCUUUUCGGUCAAAGACAAAAAUCUAGGACAUAUUUAGUUAUGGUUCAUAAAAGGUAUUCAGACAUUCAGUCUUUAUUUUUCAUGGUAGUUGACCUUGCUAUGUGACAAGAAUGUGAAGACUGGAUUUGUGUGCCAGUCUUCUCCCUUGGCAUUCUUUGGAGGUUUAUUAGUAAAAUAGCAUGCUGGUAGGUUAUGCUAUUGCCACAAUCAGUGGUGGUUUCUGAUAUGGGUGACACAGGCAACUGCCCCAGGUGGCAUCUUGUGGGGGGCGGCAUGAGCAUCACACCCUCUAUCUGGCCCUCUUAAUGUCAACAUUACCUAAUGUUUUGUAUGUAUUAGGAGGAAAAAGCAAAAAGUGAAGAUAUCGUGGUUGCUGCCCUACAUGGUGAUCCACUAGAUACCUGCUGAUUUAUGUUAUCAAUGCAUUUAUUUAAUUGUGUUUACCUGCCAAAUUUCUUUUUAAUGUUGGGUUUGUUUGUACUGUGAUUUAUGUUGAAAAAAUAUAUUUAAAAAAUGUAUAAUUAUUUUGAAUUUUUUAAAAAAAUUCUUGGACUCUUAAGACUUGAGUGUAAGCUGCAGAUAGUAUCUUUGACAGGUGAUAUGUUGAGCUUUACUCUGAAAGGAUGAGGUUGACUUAUUAGCCAGUGAUAUGUGACUCAUAACAAUCUGCUGAUGUUACUUAGAGCUUCACAUUAAUGAGGAUGCCACUGUUACUUCAAGUGAAUGCUCCAUUAAAGUACUUCAGUCAUUUCAGUGCAAAGCAUGCAUGAUUUAACACCCAUGCUGUAUAACUGGUUAAAACUCAGUUUGGCAUUUUUGAAAUGUGGUUCUGUGAAGUUGUUGUGGAAUAAACUCCAUCUACACCA